GGAGGCAGCAGUGAGGAAUAUUGGUCAAUGGGCGCUAGCCUGAACCAGCCAAGUAGCGUGAAGGAUGACUGCCCUAUGGGUCGUAAACUUCUUUUAUAUGGGAAUAAAGUGCAGUAUGUAUACUGCUUUGCAUGUACCUUAUGAAUAAGGAUCGGCUAACUCCGUGCCAGCAGCCGCGGUAAUACGGAGGAUCCGAGCGUUAUCCGGAUUUAUUGGGUUUAAAGGGAGCGUAGGCGGGUUGUUAAGUCAGUUGUGAAAGUUUGCGGCUCAACCGUAAAAUUGCAGUUGAUACUGGCAUCCUUGAGUACAGUAGAGGUAGGCGGAAUUCGUGGUGUAGCGGUGAAAUGCUUAGAUAUCACGAAGAACUCCGAUUGCGAAGGCAGCCUGCUGGACUGUAACUGACGCUGAUGCUCGAAAGUGUGGGUAUCAAACAGGAUUAGAUACCCUGGUAGUCCACACA
rnacentral:rRNA from 1 species